UCCGCCUUCCCUUGUGCCAUAAUGUCCCAUCCGCCUUACGCUGCCCAAAAUUUUUAAAUUUCAAAUUUCUCCUUCAAUCUCGAUACUCCAGUCGUUGCAAUCCUGGAGGACGCGGGGUCGCCGGCGAUUCUAGAACAGUGGGCGUAGUUGUAGGUGCGAGAGCUAUCCAGGACCCUGGACCUGUAGGCCCGCGAGGCUGAAAUAUCGCCGUUGGACACCGCCGCUCUGCUUGUCUCCGCCCGCGCCCGAUCCUUUCUCUGACAGGCUUCUGAUUCCUCUUUGGCCGGAACUGCUGCCGUCGCUACGGUUGACCUUCCUAGCAGCGUCGUUUCUGAUAGAGAUUUUGAGGGAUUUGGAGGCCGACGCAGGGUUCAGUCCCCAGAACCGACCGGAAAACAGCAGCAACGACUCCGACAAUGCCACCCCUCUGGAGUCUGGGGACUCAGAUUCUGACAUCAGGCCGUCGUCGGGUGGCGAACCUUGUGAGGAUGCUGAUUGACAUCCAAGAAUAAGUGAUUCCCCAGAAAGACCUCAAGUGAUCAGCGAUCCAUUGAAGAUUUUGUUGCAAGAAUGGAACAGGAAAGGCGGAGCGAGCUUGUAGCAUUGAAUGAGCAUCGUUACGUUGCAUCUCUUAGUUCCAGCAUCAAUCAAAAUAUGGUCUCACGAAAAGUUCAACACCAAAGAAGUCGGAUGAGUUCCAUAGACGAACAACUAUCGUGCAUCCCAGGUAAAUGAACUGAAUCUUUCCACCUCAUCCUCUUCUGUCGAAUUAGCAACCAUUUACACUUAAUUUUGAUUCUGUGUCGUUAAUAACAGAACAUGCUUUCAUGAGCCAA